GGUCGACGAUUAGAGUUUGAUCCUGGCUCAGAUUGAACGCUGGCGGCAGGCCUAACACAUGCAAGUCGAGCGGAUGAAAGGAGCUUGCUCCUGGAUUCAGCGGCGGACGGGUGAGUAAUGCCUAGGAAUCUGCCUGGUAGUGGGGGACAACGUUUCGAAAGGAACGCUAAUACCGCAUACGUCCUACGGGAGAAAGCAGGGGACCUUCGGGCCUUGCGCUAUCAGAUGAGCCUAGGUCGGAUUAGCUAGUUGGUGAGGUAAUGGCUCACCAAGGCGACGAUCCGUAACUGGUCUGAGAGGAUGAUCAGUCACACUGGAACUGAGACACGGUCCAGACUCCUACGGGAGGCAGCAGUGGGGAAUAUUGGACAAUGGGCGAAAGCCUGAUCCAGCCAUGCCGCGUGUGUGAAGAAGGUCUUCGGAUUGUAAAGCACUUUAAGUUGGGAGGAAGGGUUGUAGAUUAAUACUCUGCAAUUUUGACGUUACCGACAGAAUAAGCACCGGCUAACUCUGUGCCAGCAGCCGCGGUAAUACAGAGGGUGCAAGCGUUAAUCGGAAUUACUGGGCGUAAAGCGCGCGUAGGUGGUUUGUUAAGUUGGAUGUGAAAUCCCCGGGCUCAACCUGGGAACUGCAUCCAAAACUGGCAAGCUAGAGUAUGGUAGAGGGUGGUGGAAUUUCCUGUGUAGCGGUGAAAUGCGUAGAUAUAGGAAGGAACACCAGUGGCGAAGGCGACCACCUGGACUGAUACUGACACUGAGGUGCGAAAGCGUGGGGAGCAAACAGGAUUAGAUACCCUGGUAGUCCACGCCGUAAACGAUGUCAACUAGCCGUUGGGAGCCUUGAGCUCUUAGUGGCGCAGCUAACGCAUUAAGUUGACCGCCUGGGGAGUACGGCCGCAAGGUUAAAACUCAAAUGAAUUGACAGGGGCCCGCACAAGCGGUGGAGCAUGUGGUUUAACUCGAAGCAACGCGAGAACCUUACCAGGCCUUGACAUCCAAUGACUUUCAGAGAUGGAUUGGUGCUUCGGA
rnacentral:rRNA from 1 species